rnacentral:lncRNA from 1 species
AACCCCUUCUUUUCUUUAUAAUCAGUGGAUCCAUUGAAUACAAAUAAAUUGACUAUUACUCUUUUUUUUUAUAUUAAAGAUACAAAAUGUAACAACAAGAAUAACUCAGACUAAUCUCAAAUCCAAUAAAAAUAAUGCAUGAAUUCGAUUUGAAUAAAAAAAUAAGAAGAAGAAAAGACCAAAACAAAUCUAAUAGUAAUGCAGUUACAGAAGAGUGUGUAGUGAAGAUGAAAGUUAUGUGAUUUGUGUUGUUGUUAUGUGAGAAGGAGUAUGAAAGUUAUGGUGUUGGUGGUUAAUAGAAAAGUGGUUUAUGAUUUUAUGGUUUAUGUAGUUAUGGAAUUGAGAAGAAAGAAUUAGAAAAUAUGUUAUUUUAUGGUUAUAGAUGGAGUCUCUUGAUGGUUCACUGAAUAUUGAAGAUGAGAAAAAGAAGGUUUUUUUUGUGGUUGUAAAGUUUAAGGUAAAAAACAACAACUGCUACUCUCUCCUUUCUUCACUUUGUUGUCUUCCUUUUUUUGAAUUUCAGAGAGAGGGUUAUGUGCCGCUGGGAGCUUGCUUAUGGGUGUGCUCCUCCAUUUCUUUCAGUAAGAUGAUAUAUAUAGGAAUGGAAACAGGGUUUACUAAUUUUCUAAUAUACCAAAAGUACCCUUUUAAAUAUUAUUUAGUGAUAAAAAUACUUAAAACUAACUAAAUUAAAUAAAAUCAAAACACUUAAAAAUAAUUACAAUAUAUUCGAAAUAAGACCACAAUUAAUUCUAUUUAUUUUUAUUGAACAUUUUGACUAAAAAACAAAAGUAAAAAUCGGACGCAAAAACUGCUCGAAAAAUUAAACUGAAUGCACCCAAAUAAUCAACGCAAAAUAAACCUCUCGGAAAUAUACAACGUUUGAACCAAUUUAGAAAUAAAUUUUGACCGGUUAAAAGGCCCAGACUGAUGGAAAUGCGACCGAAAAAAUAGUCAAAAAAUUAAAACGAGUAUGCCAGAUUGAACUACGUGAAACGUAGAUCAAUAAAACUCACAUCUGCAAGCUUGAUUUUGAAACUUUUUCCCUGCUGUUUUGACACACAUUUGAUAAUUGAUUCAACCGGUUUUCCUGUAGAUUUGAAAAUUUAGUUCGACUGAUAUUCUAGGCAUUAUGCGGUAUGGAAUGCAUGUUAUGAUAUGUAAAGAUGCAACGACUAUGACGAAUGUGUUAAAUUGGCGAUUCAGGGUCAAAAUCGGGGUGUGACAGUUUCUCCUAUUUAAACAUCUUCAACUAGAGAAUAUGAAGCAAGAAACUCUUCAUAUGAUCAUAGUGGGAGAUGGUUAAAUACUAAGAAAACUCGGAUUUUGAUCCUGAAAUGCAAAAUGAUAUGACAUGAUAUGAGAUGUUAUGAAUGUAUGAAUGACUCUUUUUAUUUUUGAUUUGCUGGCAAUAUUAUCAGACAUAAGAUAAACCAUAGUAAGAUGUUUUAUGAUGAAUGCAGAACGAAACAAAGAUCUGCGGGGAAUGAUGAAGACAUAUGGUAAAGGUGACCCAUAAAAAACAAAAAAUAAGGGUAGAAAUUCAUUACGGAUAUCAAUCCUGCUGGAGGAAAGACAACUGGGAAAUAUGCAAAGAGAUUUUAACAACAAGUUCAUGUGUGACCUGACAACACCAGAAUAUUCAAAGAAUUUUCAACAACUGGUUCAAACAUGACAUGACAAAACUAGAAUAUUCAAAGAAUGCGCAAUUAACUAGUUCAAACGUGACCUGGAAGAAUUAGGGAACAUACAAAGAAUGUUCGAACAAACAGGUCCAUACAUUGAUCUGACGACAACCUGAAUAUCAAGGAAAGUCUAGUCAAUAUGUUCAUACACGAUCUGACAAUACCGGAAAAAAUCAAAGACUCCAUACAUGACCUGACCACUGGAAUAUUUAAAGACUUUAAAUAAUAGGUUCAAACAUGACUUAACAAUGCUGAGGGAUAUCAAAAGGAUCCAUCAACAGGUUCAAACAUGACCAGACAAUACCUGCAAAUAUACAAAGAAAAGUUCCAUCAACAGGCUCAUACAUGACCUGACAGCAUUGGACAAUUCAAAGUGUUUCAAGAACAAGUUCAGACAUCACCUGACAAUGCUAGAAAAUCAAGGAAAAUUUAAUCUAUAGGUUCAUACAUGACCUCAACAUUAGGAUAUUUAAAGAAAGUUUCACUCACAGGUUCAGACAUGACCUGACAACACUUAGGAAAAAAACAAAGGGGAGUUUUAUCAACAUGUUCAUACAUGACCCGACGACACUAGAAAAUUCAAAGAAACUAUAUCCAUAGGUUCAUGCAUGACUUGACAAUUCUGGAAUUUUCACAGAGAUUUUAACAACAGGUUCAUACAUGGCAUGUUAACACUAGAAAACCCAAAGAAAACUUCAACAACAGGUUCAUACAUGAGCUAAGAAUAUUGGAAAACAUAUAAAGCAAGUUUUAUCAACAGAUUCAUACAUGACCUGGCACUUUAGAAUACAUCUGACAAUUAUGGAGAUUUCUCACAAGAAAUUCAUCUGAUCAAAUAUUUUGGAGAUUCCUAACAGGGAAUUUAUGCAAACCAAAGAUAAACGGGAGCCUUCUUAUAAUUAGAUCAUCCACGCAAAAGGCUACGAUGAUUCUUUACAAAGAAAUCAAAUAAAACUAAUAUCAUUGGAGUUUUCUAACACGAAAAACCUCCAAGCUUCUGGGAAUUCCUCAAGAUGAUGAGUCAUACAUGACUUUCAUGGAACCAUCAGGAAAGACAAGGUAAUCAAACUCUCUCUACGUGCCAACAACAAUUGGACUUUGACCGUAAGCAAUGGGUUACAACCAGCUUUUAACGAAUAGGUGCCAACAACAAUUAGACUUCGACCGUAAGCAAUGGACUACAACCAGCUUUUAACGGGUAGGUGCCAACAACAAUUGGACUUUGACCGUAAGCAAUGUAUUACAACCAACUUUUAACGGAUAAAUGCCAACAACAAUUGAACUUUGAAAAUGACUGCGAAAACCAGAUGAUGGUUUAAGGGCACCAAAGAUAAACUGGGAUUAGAGGUCAAAGGAUAUAGGAUUAACAACAAGCCCUGAAUCAAUGCAAAAUGAGCGUAAAGUACAUGUCGUCUAUGCAUGAUUUGAAUAUGUUUUUAUGCAUGAUAUAUGAAUGAUCAUGAUAUGAAAAUGUUGAUACUUGAGCGGACUGAGAGUUUGUAAAGGUUUUUUAUGGAGGUCAUGACUCCUCAACACCGAGAACUCAACCAAAUAUUUUUUGAUAGAUGUUGUCAAAGGAGAAUUCUAUCAAGCUUGACAGCUACAACUUAUCCAAAUGGAUCCUUUCGGAGGAUUAAAGAAUCGUGCUAGCAUAAUUUUUGGGCACUCGCCUUAAACUCAAUAGUUGUAGACGUAUGGAAGAAUUUGUUUGAGCAAUUUGAAAGCAUGAAGGGAGUUUGUCGCUUUGUGGCUCAUCUUGCCCCAGUCUGUUGGGUCUGUGAAGAUGUUCACCUUGAAAGUAAGCUUGGAAACAACUUACCAUGAGACGACCUCGAGAUGGAUUUCCCCAAUGUUUGAAUAUCGUAGUGAUCCAACCCUGACUAACCAAAACUUGGAAUGUAGACUUUUGAUUGAUUGUCCCCGGCUAGUUGGAUUCAAUGAGCUUUUGGGGUGACUUGUCCCAGUCUGAGUCUUAAAGCAAAUUACUCUUGGUUAACUGACCCUUGGGAUAAUUGGCUCGGAUUUACUGAUACUCAAGGUGACUAUCACAUGAUUGGACUUCUUUCACUUUAUCAAGUUCCUCAAUUGUAUAUUGUUGGAAUUUCUUUAAUGCUAAGUGCUGACUCGCAAGUAAGAUUGUUCAUUCAAAAAUGGUAAUUUUAAUGCAGUGCUUAUGCAAAAAUUUGAAAUCAAAAUUUAUUGACAUGAACGAGUGAAAUACAGUGAACGGGUCACUGAUAAGAACACAAUGAUGAUCUAGUCAUUCACAGAAUGCAAGUUGGUGCGAUUAAAUGAUUAACAAAAAUCAUUUGGAGUCAGGUUAACACAACCUUGUUGUACUAUGCUUUCAGAAUAAACCAUGCCUCAAUUAGGUCUUUUAAGGGUUGUAAUUUGGCCUGGUUCACGUUUUUUAAAACAAAAGGAUAUAAGGCUCAAAAUUAAUUUUAACCCACCCCUUCUUUUUGAUGAUCUUCAAUUCCUACAUUCAGUUAAUUCGAUACACGCAUUUGACUUCAAGGAGGGUUUAAAGGUGUGAUGAGGAUUUAAGACGAAUUUUCUUGAAAUGGAAGUCACCUUAUUUUUCUUUAUUUUGUUGAGGAUUUGAGGACCUAUUUUUUUGUUUUUCUUUAUCUCUAAUUUUGUCUGGAUCGCUUCUAUGAAGCUUUCGGUCCAUCGGGAUGCCCUAACUUUUGCCUAAGUCAUUUUGUGGUAUUUGACUUAGCGGGCUUUUUUCUCUUUUUUUAAAGGUGUUGACUGCCACAUUAUUGGUGGAUUUGGAUCAACCAACACUAAUUUUAGCUUUUAUCAGCUUCUUCGACACUUCAACAUGUGCGCGAAGGAUAACAUGUGGUUGAACCUAAUUAGAAGGUGUACAGAUGGACAAAUUCUUUUGAAAGAUCGAAUGCACGGUCAAACUAUCUGAACACAACUACCCUGCCCCAGGUUAAGAUUAAAGGUUUUAAAUCCGAAAGAAAGACCAACUUCUAGGCUCAAAGUGGUUGACUAUGGAUUAACUCCUUAUAUCUUCAGUGUUUGGGGAUUUGAAAUAAUGCCUUACAUCAUCGACAAGGUUUUCUUCAAAAGCAUGCCACAACAAUUUUAGGUGUUUCAUUUUCAUCAUCCUCCUUCCAAUCUUUUUUAACACAACGGUUUGAUAAAUAAAAGUGAAUGAGAGAAGUAUUUUUGUUUUUAAAAUGAAAAACGAGUGAAUACGAAUGGAUUAAUUAAAAAGAUGCAUAAACAUUUCAUUAAUCUUACCAAUUCAAUAAGAACAACAAUGCUUAAAAGCAACUAACAAUCAACAUGCAAGGAAAUUACAAAAGAAAUGUUGAAUCAGCCGAAUGAUUGCCAGUUUUAUGGAAUUGACUUCUUCAAACUUGAUCCAUUGACUUCGGGAGAUGCCCCUUGAGGUCUUCGCACUUAUUUGGGCGAUAGGUUGACGUUCACCACCAAUUUUCCUUCUUGAAAGGCUAUGUACCUAUUGUCAAUCAAUUGUUGUGAUUUGGCUUUGAAAGUCUUGUAGUCUUCAGUUGAGUGCCCUUCUGAUCCAACAUGAUAUCCAUAUUGCACAUUUGGGCCAUACCCAAGUGGGUACAGUUGUGGAACCGGCUUAAGAGACUUGGGAACCACCAACGAGUUUUAAACCAGAGGUUGUAGAAGUUGUCUAUAUGUCAUGGGAAUUGGAUUACGAGGACUAUUCUUUAUUUCUAAGUUAUUUCGAGGCCUAUGCUGAUUAUGAUGGUAGUUUUGAUAUCUCUGGCAUUGGGCUCGUUGAUUUGGAUGAGUAGAAAACCUAGAUUGUUGGCAAUGAAGACCAAAAGUUAGUGGUUACUGGUAUGACACUUUGGGUGUUGUUAACUGCUCAUUUUCAUCCACUUAAAGGUUGGGAUCAAUAAGCUUUUUGACAUUGGCAUGACGAUCUUCAAAUUCUUUUCCUUCAAUCUCAUCAUUGGACGCAUCCAUCUUGGACCCACUACUCACUUCUCCUUUACUUCCGUCGGCAUGGGUCGUGACAUUGAAAAUCCAAGGCGAUAUUUCAAUUCUCUUACCGGGAAACAAUGAUAUCUCGUUAGCCACAUCCCUGACCUCUUCCUUGUGGUACAAAAACUUAAGGGGUUUCAGGGGUCCUUUGCCUUUCUCAUUACCUGGCCCAUAAAUCAAUAUAUAUGUACCUGAGCCUUCCUCCUUGAUUGUUGGUAACCUUAUGUCAAUCAAUCUUUGUAGCUUGAACUUAAAACUCUUGCAUUCCUCGAUGGAGUGCCCCAUUGUUCCAGUAUGGUAUCCGCACUUGACCUUCAGGUGAUCUUCUUCAAAGACUAAUCUCUUUUUGUUAAUCAGUUCUCGUACCAAGGCUUUCAGCGCUAAGCAAGAAUCUAGGUCAUGUCCCACUACCCCUUUAUGGAAUUCACAUGUUGCAUUUGGAUUGUACCAUGGCAGGUAUGGUGACGUAGAUGUGAGAGCUCGAGGGGUCACCAAAGCAUUCUGGAUCAGCUGCGGGUAGAGCUUGUUAUAUGGCACCAGAAUCGGGUCGUUGUGGUCUUUAUUACUCUUGUUCUGAUUCUGAUUUUUGUUCCAAACCUGACUUUGGUGAUUUUGAGGAGGAAUACCCAUAAGAUGUUGAUGAUGACAUCCCGAGGGAGGGCCAUAUGCCGGUAGAUGAGGAGUUGCCAUAUAGAAUUGCCUUUGACUUGGGGUAACAUCGGAUGGAUGUGGAUUAGUAGCUCCCUCCGUUGCAACAAUAUGUAUUGGAUGAUCCUCUUUUCUCAACAAGGCUUGCAGGGUUUCCAAGACCCAUCCCAUCUGGAUUUUCAAAAGAUUUAGUUCCUCUUUUAAUGCUUCUUGACUUUUCCUUAGCUCGUCCAUCAUCUCUUGAGACAUGGUUCUUUGUUCUAAACGCGUGUUGGGAAUCACUUUGCUGAUCAUGGACAAAGGAUGGAUGAUUUUUUUUGUAUUUUGUCUGGAAAACGACAUUCAUUCUGAUGAGAUGCAAAUGCAAUGGAAUGUGAAUGAAGGCAAUGCAAGCCAUGCAUUUUUUUCAAUACACAGGUUCAAAAGUAUGAGGUACUGAUGAAUCUGAUUGCUUUAUAAAGAAUAGGUUCUCACCAGGUACGAUCUAGGGUUUCAAAAAAAGUUCCUAGAGUCAUGGAUCCAUUAUACUAUUUGUUUCCUGUGGCAACUUACUUGCCGGACGUCAACUCCAUCCAAAGAAUCUACUAUAAGUGAGGUUCUCACAUCGAUCCAACGAGAAAUUCAUCUCGCAGACCCACACUACGCAACCAUCUUUCCUAGUUGGCCAAAGGAUUAAGGUUCUACAAAUGGUCCUUAGAUUCAUGGAUCCUGAUAAAAAUAUUGAAGCUUACAGCAACUUACUUGUCGGGCGACAACAUCUUCCCAAGGAUCUACUAUAAGUGAGGUUCUUGUACUGACCCAAGGAGAAAUUCAUCUCGUGGACCCGCAUUACUCAACCUCGUCCUAUCUUAUGUUUUUACUCGAGACUCGGGUAGAGAGUCUUUUCCAUAAGGUUUGCAAUCAGAGUAUCCAAGUAUCAAAGCAUAAUGGGACCAAUACAAUAGAUUAUAUCAAUAUGACAAUAAAGAUAAAGAGAGCAAGAAACCACUCAAGUAAACAAACAAAGGCACACAAAUGACCUAACUAGGCUUGACUCACUUAGGGAAAUCGCAAUUCCCCAAUAGAGUCGCCAUCAGUCGCACCUCGAAAAAUGAGAACACGACUUAGCAAAGCACAAUCGCACGCUCGCAAUGAUGGAUUGAACAGAGUCGUCACAAAACUUUAUUUAUUCCUAAAAAGGAAAGGGGAAAUAUCGAUAAAACCCAAGAAAGAACGACAAUGAUUAUGGUCGUCGCAACCAAAUCAGGGUUCGGGAGUCGAUUACGCAAGGGGAAGGUAUUAGCAAAAUAUCGAUAAAACCCAAGAAAGAACGACAAUGAUUAUGGUCGUCGCAACCAAAUCAGGGUUCGGGAGUCGAUUACGCAAGGGGAAGGUAUUAGCACCCCUCACGUCCGUUGUACUCAACGGGAGCCAUUAGGUUAAUUGUGCGCGUUAGUGUUAGUUUAGAAAAGUUAGACUUCUCAAGUUAUUAGGAGGAAAAGAAUAAUAAGAUCAAAAGAAAAGAAAAGAUGUUUUUGGAUUUUAAAACGAAGGGGAUUAAACCUAAGUUUUUUUAUUAAUGGGCCUGACAAGAUUUACAAAUCCUACUGCUACAUAUCUACGGAUGCAAUAGAGAACUUAAGGCUUAUGUAGUCAUGGAUAGAAAAAUAUUUGUUUGUUGGUCGAUUUUAGCGAAAGCUAUAUUGUAUUAAUAGAUGAAAACAUUGUUUUACCCAAAAUAGAUGAGGAGCGGACAUAUACCACACAUCGAAUGGAUUUACAAAUCAACAUUCGGAAAAACGUCACUUAUCUCAACUCAACAAUUAUGGCCGAAACAUUGCUUUACAUCACCUCAAGACAAGGUAUCUUUCGCUUAUGAAAAGGUUUUUCUAAUCAAUGGCACGAUAGUGAAAAAGAGUUUGAUUGGUUGAAUGUAUUUUUAGGCUUGAAAGACGAGUAUUUAUGACUUGCAAGCUCUUACAACUUGGGUCUAAUACUCGAGAUUACGUCUGGACCUUUCACCCAGGUAAUCUUUUUCUUUCAAUUUUAUUGAGAAAAGAAGUUUAAAUAUUUACAAGUAUUUUGAAGAGAAGACGAAUAAUUAUGGCUUGCAAGCUCUUACAACUUGGGCCUAAUAUUCAGGAUUACGACUAGAUAUUUCAUCCAGGUAAUCUUUUUCUUCAGAUUCACUUAUGAAAAUGAUUUGAAUAUUGAAGCGUUUUGAGGAGAAGACGAAUACAUAGGGCUUGCAAGCUCUUACAACUUGGGUCUAAUAUUCAGGAUUAUGACUGGAUAUUUCAUCCAGAUAAUCUUUUUCUUCAGAUUCACUUAUGAAAAUGAUUUGAAUAUUGAAGCGUUUUGAGGAGAAGACAAAUACAUAGGGCUUGCAAACUCUUAUAACUUGGGCCUAAUAUUCGGGAUUACGACUGGAUAUUUCAUCCAGGUAAUCUUUUUCUUCAGAUUUUAUUGAGAAAAAGACGUUUGAAUAUUUACAAAUAUUUUGAAGAGAAGAUGAAUACAUAUCGCUUACAAGCUCUUACGACUUGAGCCUAAUAUUCGAGAUUACGAUUGGAUAUUCCAUCUAGGGUAAUCUUUUUCUUCAGAUUUAGUUAUGAAAAUGGCUUGAAGUGACUUAAGGGUAAUUGAAAUGCAGACAAGUAAAUGUGAACAUGCAAAAAGAAAAGAGCUCAUUGUAAGAAGGCCCAAGAGUAAGCCACGAGACCAAAAUAAACCAAACUCGAAAACAACUGAAUUUAGCUCCAAGUUAACUUAGAGUAGAUUCAUGUAUGAAUCACUCUACAAAAAGCCGAGCAACCGGAUCUAUGCAUCCACAUGAUUUUUGAAAGUUAAAUUGAAAUUGAAAUUCCGAAAUGAUAACGCAAUAAAGGCAACAACACCAAACGCAAGCAUAUACUCAAUAUUUAUGUAUUACACGGAAACUAUCCAUUUAAAUAUAACACAUAAGCACAUAACUUUAACAAAUAGAACCAAAGAAACAAAAUUAAAAGAAUACUAUAAUUAAAACAAAUCUUUUUUUUUAUAAAUCAAGAUUAAAAUAGAAACACUAAUUCUAUUAACAAAACCAAAAACAAAUAAUAAUUACAGUAAUAAAUUGGCUUAGAACUAAGUUCUAAUUAGCAAUCAAAUGGUCCAAUUAAAUCAAGAUUAAAAUAGAAACACUAAUUCUAUUAACAAAACCAAAAACAAAUAAUAAUUACAGUAAUAAAUUGGCUUAGAACUAAGUUCUAAUUAGCAAUCAAAUGGUCCAAUUAAUAAUCAAAAUGUGAAAACUAUAAAUGAGUUAGGUCCAAUAAAAAAAAUUAGAAACACAAUCCAAAAUUUAUUUAAACAUAAAUAAGAAACACAUAUUAAUUGUUAUAAAUAAUAACUAAAUUAUUAAUUAUAAAAAUAAAUAAAUAAAUAAAAUGAAUUAGAGAAAAAGAGACGUAACAACCCCUUCUUUUCUUUAUAAUCAUUGGAUCCAUUGAAAACAAAUGAAUUAACUAUUACUCUCUCUCUCUUUUAUUAAAGAUACAAAAUGGAACAACAAGAACAACUCAGACUAAUCUCAAAUCCAAUAAAAAUAAUGCAUGAAUUCGAUUUGAAUAAAAAAAUAAUAAGAAAUAAAUACCAAAACAAAUCUAAUAGUAAUGCAGUUACGGAAGAGUGUGUAGUGAAGAUGAAAGUUAUGUGAUUUGUGUUGUUGUUAUGUGAGAAGGAGUAUGAAAGUUAUGGUGUUGGUGGUUAAUAGAAAAGUGGUUCAUGAUUUUAUGGUUUGUGUAGUUAUGGAAUUGAGAAGAAAAAACUUAGAAAAUAUGUUAUUGUAUGGUUAUAGAUGGAGUCUCUUGGUGGUUCACUGCAUAUUGAAGAUGAGAAAAAGAUUUUUUUUUGUGGUUGUAAAGUUUAAGGUAAA